rnacentral:rRNA from 1 species
CCUACGGGAGGCAGCAGUCGGGAAUAUUGGACAAUGGGGGCAACCCUGAUCCAGCAAUACCGCGUGUGUGAAGAAGGCCUGCGGGUUGUAAAGCACUUUUAGUGGGGAAGAUAAUGACGUUACCCACAGAAAAAGCACCGGCUAACUCCGUGCCAGCAGCCGCGGUAAU